rnacentral:rRNA from 1 species
GAUAUCAGGUAAGAGUACCCACUGGAUUUAAGCAUAUAACUAAGUGGAGGAAAAGAAACUAACAAGGAUUCCCCUAGUAACGGCGAGUGAAGCGGGAAGAGCUCAAUCUUAAAAUCUCUAUAUUAAAUUGUAGUGAAUUGUAGUCUAUUGAAUUGGUUUUGCAAUGAACAUAUGGAAAAGUCCCUUGGAAGAGGGCAGCAUAGAGGGUGAUACUCCCGUCUUUGCCGUAUGAUUUAUUGUAUUAAUUCCUCUUUCAUUGAGUCGAGCUGCUUGGGAAUGCAGCUCAAAGCAGGUGGUAAAUUCCAUCUAAAGCUAAAUAUGUGUGUAAGACCGAUAGCGAACAAGUACCGUGAGGGAAAGAUGAAAAGAACUUUGAAAAGAGAGUUAAACAGUACCUGAAACUGCUGAAAGGGAAUCGGAUUGUUGCCAGUGUGAUCCAAUACAUAUUUCAAUAGUGAGUAAUCGUUGUUGCCCUGUGUGUUGGUGUGAUGUUAGGGUCAAUUGAUUUUGCAAGAAAUUGGUAAGAGGGAGGUAGGUGAUAUUUUCGGAUAUGACUAUUAUAUUCUUUUGCUAGUGUUGUGAAUGAGAUUGAGGAAACAAUGUGCAAUUUAUUUACUUUUCAUCUUUUUUGACUUNUUUAUUUUACAGCUUGCUGUUAUUUAAGUAAUGUUUUGAGAAACUUGAUAUGUAGACAAUGCCAUUCGGGACCCUGACAAAAUGGAGCAAUCUGUCCCGUCUUGAAACACGGACCAAGGAGUCUAACAUGUAUGCAAGUAUUUAAGUGGUAAACUUAAAUGCAUAAUGAAAGUGAAUUAAAGCAUUUAGCUUUAUAAGGUAGGAAGAGUUUUACUCUGCACUAUCAACCGAUCUAGAACCUUCGGGUAAAAGAUUUGAGUAUGAGCAUGUAUGUUGGUACCCGAAAGAUGGUGAACUAUGCCUGAAUAGGGUGAAGCCAGGGGAAACUCUGGUGGAGGCUCGUAGCGGUUCUGACGUGCAAAUCGAUCGUCAAAUUUGGGUAUAGGGGCGAAAGACUAAUCGAACCAUCUAGUAGCUGGUUCCCUCCGAAAUUUCCCUCAGGAUAGC